CUACCAUGGCGGUAAUGUACUUAAUAAGAGGAUAAAUAUUAACUUGGGUGUGGAAUGAGGGUUUCAUUGGGGGAAUCGUGCAAAGGAAUAAGAUUUUAUUUUUUAAAACCCGUUUGUGGCUGUAAUCUGAAAACAAAUGUGAAGACAAAAAUGUGCAUUACCAUAUGUCUGACAUUAUAUGAAGGUAAGCUGCAAUGUUUAGCAGUUGCAGUACAAGGUAAGUAAGAUUCUGCUUUCCUUUUCACAUCAGGCAGUGAGGAGGACUUAACUUGCUCCACAAAUUAAUACAGCUAUGUAUUUGAACAGAGGAACUUACUUUCUCAAGCACCUAUUUUCUGAAUGCUCACAACAUUCCUAGUGAUGUCUCAUAAUAACCAGCCAGAAUGGUAAAGACUGAAGUCUAGGAGACAAUAGCAACUGGUCAGAGUUUAACUAACCCUAGUAGCUCAGCAGUGGACCUCACAUAUGUGAAAACAGUAAAAACUUUCAAGUAAUGCAGAAAGCAAUCUUCCUUCAUUAUAUCUCAUUAACCUCAGAUUUCACACCUUCCCAGGAAACCUUUACAAGUACAAAAGUAUGGAAAGUUCAGAUGCAACUGCUGUAAGCCUACCAGAGGCUGCCAUGACUGAGUCUGCCAUAAUUAAAAUAUGGUCCCAGUCCCACUCACCUUCUGCACCUAGUAUUAGCCGAACAGUCCUCCUCACCGCAUUCAUGAAGUCAUUUAGGUUAACUCUGCCAUCCUCUGGAAAACAAAAAGGGAAAUGAUCUGUUCUGCUUCUUCGUUCAGGAACUCAGCCAGUCAAGGAAGCAGAACAGCCACAACCAUUAGUUAAGCCACAAGAGGGCACAUUAGCAAUUGAACAGAAUACGCAGAAGUGAUAAAAUCCAACUUCAGGCAGGCAUGAAAGCCUGUGCACAAAACAGAUGCUACAAGUUUCUAGGUAAGCUAUAGAUUAAGAUAUUGUAUUAUGAGAAAAGAUCAGCAUUAAAAUACCAUACCACACAAAUAAAAAUUCAUUAAAAAUUAAAAUGUUAAAAAGUCAUUAAAACAACAGUACAACUAAAACAGCAUAGUAAACUUUUUAAGGCCUUUUAAUUAAAAGACUAUUGUAAAUGGCAACCUACCAAGCCACACACUAUUUGUUUGUUAAGGUAUAUAUUUGGUAACCUGUAUUCUAUGUGCAUGUUGAUUUGCCAGUUUAUUUGACUCUUUGGCGUGGGAGGAGUUAUAGACAUGUGAUUAUACUGAGCAUGUGCAGACUCAAGACUCCAUUUUGUGUUCAGUAUCUGUUUAGACUUCAAUGGGAGCAGAUGUCUUCCAUCAGAACUCAGAGGAGGUGAAUGCAUACAAGUUGGUGUUUGGACUUCAGUGGAGAAGUCAGUUUAGAGACUUCAAUAUUUCCUUAUGGACUUCACUUUUGUGGCAUUUUGAAGUGCUGAAGAACAUGAAUUGUGAGAAGAAAAAGGAGGCUGCGAUAUGAUUCCUUCUGAUGAAGCUAUUCCUCUGAGACAGGCAAGGAUUGGCACAAAUCUGAAAACAAAACUCUGAAUACCUCUAAGAUGGUUAAAAGACAACCAGGUUGCUACAGUUCCCUCCCAUUCAUUCUCCUGCUUAAAGAUUAGUGACCAUGUUGGAAUUAUUUAAUUCAAACCUUACCAUCAAUAGAAACUAAUGACAGAGUUGCCUGAAGUUCUUCAGGGGAGAGUUGGAUCCCCAAGCUUUCCAGAAUGAGUGCAGGUCCUGGAACUCCAUGUUAUUCAAAUUCACUCCCAGUUUCUUCAGGAUGGACCACAAUUCAUGGUCUUUGACACUGUCUCCAGCAAGCAUGUGGAUGACAUCGAAAGCAUCCUGUAAAGCUAGAAAAAAGAGAUUCCACUUUGCUGCAAACUACAAAUCUUAUGCAAACAAGUCACAAGUAUGGUUUUCUUGAAACAAGAAGAAGUUGGUUUUAAGAGGGGAGAAGAAGAGGGAGGGUAGAGAUGCUUAACUUUUUAGCCACCAGCCAUUUUUGUACUUUGAAUUACUCUCCCCCACCCCUCAAUUGCUUCCUCACAAUAAAGUUUCCUUUUCA